AUUGAACGCUGGCGGCAGGCUUAACACAUGCAAGUCGAGCGGAGAUGAGGUGCUUGCACCUUAUCUUAGCGGCGGACGGGUGAGUAAUGCUUAGGAAUCUGCCUAUUAGUGGGGGACAACAUUCCGAAAGGAAUGCUAAUACCGCAUACGUCCUACGGGAGAAAGCAGGGGAUCUUCGGACCUUGCGCUAAUAGAUGAGCCUAAGUCGGAUUAGCUAGUUGGUGGGGUAAAGGCCUACCAAGGCGACGAUCUGUAGCGGGUCUGAGAGGAUGAUCCGCCACACUGGGACUGCGACACGGCCCAGACUCCUACGGGAGGCAGCAGUGGGGAAUAUUGGACAAUGGGCGGAAGCCUGAUCCAGCCAUGCCGCGUGUGUGCGAAGGCCUUUUGGUUGUAAAGCGCUUUAAGCGAGGAGGAGGCUCUUAAGGUUAAUACCCUUGAUGAGUGGACGUUACUCGCAGAAUAAGCACCGGCUAACUCUGUGCCAGCCGCCGCCGUAAAAC
rnacentral:rRNA from 1 species